UGAAACCCUCCCAGGACCUUCCUGCAGGCCCUCGUCCCACACAGCUCUGCCGUCCCUUGGUGCCCCUUCCGGCCUCAGGUCCUCCAUGCCGGGUACCUCCGGGCACCUCGAUUGGCUGAGCCAGGGGUUCAGCCUGGCAGGGGGCCCUGGCAGCAGUCCUUGGCCUGUGGAUGCUGUCCUGGCCUGUGGAUGGUGUCCCGGCCUCCACGUACCCCUCUCAGCCCCUCCUCUUGGACCCCAGCCAUGGGCCUGCGCGCGAGCCGGAACUGCUCCCGGACAGAGAAUGCCGUGUGUGGCUGCAGCCCAGGCCACUUCUGCAUCAUCCAGGAUGGGGACCACUGCGCCGCGUGCCGCGCUUACGCCACCUCCAGCCCGGGCCAGAGGGUGCAGAAGGGAGGCACCGAGAGUCAGGACACCCUGUGUCAGAACUGCCCCCCGGGGACCUUCUCUCCCAAUGGGACCCUGGAGGAAUGUCAGCACCAGACCAACCGAGCUUGGAAAAGUCAGACAGACCUCUGAGGUCUCAUCCUGGAGCUG
rnacentral:sRNA from 1 species